AAAAGAAUAGAAAUAGAAACAGAAUAGGCAAAACGAAAAGCAGGGAAAGAAAGAAAGAAAGGAGAAAAGAAAGAAGAAAGGGAAAAUUAAAGGUUUGAAGCUUGAGAUUUAAAUAGGUAUUUGGAAGGUCAACAGCGACGAUGGGAGUUGAUCCUUAGCCAUUUCGAUGAAACAAUGGCAAAGUGACAUACCUCGGGGUGCGGGUGUCUUCGGGCGAAGUACCUGCUGACGUGGCAAG